AUUUCAUGUUGCUUACAUUCAUUUCCUAGCCGCCUCGGUCAGCUAGCUCCUGAACUCUUUCUUCACGCCGGAUUGGUGUCUUCUUAUUUUUUCCGUCAGAUUCAUUCAGAUCGCGAGGCGAUCUACGAUUUGGUUAUGAAAUUUCCGAGUUUCGUGAUGUUGUUGAUUUUUCUUCGCUUGAUAGAUUGGUCCCCUGGUUCUUAUGCUGUCUGGGGCUGUGAAACGCCGAGAUUUGGCUAGAUCUGCAGAUGUGUUGGACGGAUCGUCAAAGAUCCGGUUUUGCGGGAUUGGAUUGGAAACAUCGGUGUCUGGAUCUGGAAACACGGAGACAUCUUGAGAAGAAACGAUUGUUUGAUGGAGGGCGCUCUCGGUCAUGGCUUCGUCGUGGUUUUGUCUAUCAAUCCGAGGCUCAGGUGGACCGGCCGAGUGAUUUAAGGGAAGUUAAUUGUUUUAUGCUGUGUUGUUUCAUGUGUUAUUCUGUCUGUGUAGACUCGACGAAUUGUUGAGGUAUCAGACUGUAAAAAAUUGAAAAAUGAGUGAGCUAUGUGAAAAGUGAGGUGAGGUGUGGUUGUCUGCAUGACCUUUGCCAUGAUGGGUGCGCUCGCAUGGCAGGUCGCCCGAUAAUGAAAAUUUCUAUUUUUUGGUUUCGAGGGGAGAUGGUACGGGGAUUUGCCCGGCUCUCCCCCCUGUGUGGUGUCCUCGUCUCUCUCCAUCUACUCAUAUUUAUUUUGCGUCUUCAAUCUUUAUUAUGCACGCUUGCUAAUUUCAAAAUCCAGCAAUUUGGUCUUGAAUUGGGAUGUGAACCGUGUAAUGCAAAAUAUAACGCAUUGAUUCAAGACCAAACAAUCUCCAUUACUUGGAAAAGCAAAAUAUUGGGAUCAAUCAAUUUGAGGCUGCAAUAUGCUUAUCAGCAUCCACUACUACAGAGGUACCAAUUUGCACUUUCUCAGCAUCUACUUUUACACAUUCCUAAUACUUAACUUAGUUUUCACGCUUACUGGCUCAAAUUAUCUUGUGUUGUUGCUAAAAUUGGGUUUUUUUUAGGUCUGUUAUUUCUUACUAUCUUUUAAUAGCUACAAAUAAAGUUCUGGAAAAAAACCUAUAAAAUUAGAGCUAGAUGGAUUUUAAAAUCCCUUUGAUUCACUCUGUUGGGUAUAAUCUGAUGCCAUAACCUAUUCCUGCUUUGGCGAUUUCUUUUCAAUCCCCAUUUUUAAUUCCCAACUUUCCUUGUCUAACGUGCAUCUUCCCCUCUCAUAUGAAUUGAAUCAUAACAUGGUUAAUCGAUAUAAUAUACACACAAUUUUAAUCGAUAACAACUCUCCACUCCUGUACAUCAUUACUUUUUAACCAGUUCACAAGCUAUCAAAAUCUCAUUGUACAAUGUGUAUAGUACUUUUGCACUUGUUCUUUAUUUUUACUUGCAAAGAACAUGCGAACAUGCUUUUCUGUUGAGGGCUCUAGCUUAUUAUAUAAGGUUAUUAAUGUAUUACGGUUUAAAUUCAUCUGCAUCUGAAUGGUUGAAGGGACUGUAGUGUAGUGUAAGCUGUAGCUUGGUUGUAAUAGAUCAGCUAUUCAGUGUAUGGUUUGUUGCUUACUGAAUUUGGAGCAGUCCUUGGUGUAUGGUGGUUUCUAAUUGAGCCAGUCCAGUUUUCAUGAGGAGUUGCUAUUAUUAUUGUGGCUGUAUCUGUUGAUUGGAUACUUGGUAUGUGUGUCGGAUUCGCUGCUGCUGCUGUGUUGCUGUACUUCUGUGGUUUCUGCUGCUGCUCCAGCUAUUGCUCUGGAGCUUUUGGUGAUUGUUCGCAUGAUUGUUGGUGCUUAUCUAUCAAUGUGCAUAUGCUUCGGCUGUCUCUCCAAGUGUAGUCGAAUAUAAUUGUCAAGUAAGCUGCUGUCUCUCCAAGUGUAGUCGAAUAUAAUUGUCAAGUGGUUGGAUUCUACUUGAGGCCGGCGGUGUUCUUUUAGUUUUUGUUGCUUUUCCUAUAUGAUUGCUUCUGUGGUGUUUGUAUCCCAUGUGGUGUGAUUGCUUGUGCAUUAUGCUUUUUAUUGUUUUUACUUUAUUUAUUAUGAUGAUAUAUAGUAGCUCAAAGUUUGAUAGUAUAUCUUGGUGAAAAUUGUAACUUUUGCCAUUUCCCAUUAGUAGUAAAUUAGUAAUGGGUGUGGAUUUUUUAAAAACUUGUGGAAACUAGCUGGGAAUAACAUGGCAGCGAUACAAAAUAUUAUGGAAAGGAUCUCGAAAUUUUUAUUCUCUAUGAAAGCCUAAAAUUUUUAAUUAUGGUGGAGGUGAUCAUGACAAGUUAGUGACGUUUAUGUGAUAAAUUUUAAUUUGAUUUAAAUUAGAGUGUGAAUAUUUUCGGUUUGUAUUUUGUAGGGUAUACGAUUUGGUCAGUUGAUUUAUUUUCGCCAUCAUAUUAACUACUUUUGAGGUUUAAAUCUUUGGGGUAAAUCUUUACGAAAGAUCAUUACGCCAGUGCCUUUUGUUGGAUAAGGUUGAUAUUUUGAGGUGCAAAUCAUUGGGGUAAAUCUUGAUGAAAGAUAGUUACGCCUAUGCCCAACUAAGGCUGAUAUUUAUUAACCUACGGUGAGGAAUUAAAUUACCACCCUUGUGCAUUACCUAGUUGGAGAAUAUUGGAAGUCAUUGGAGAUCGAAAAAUGAUACAUUUAGAAAUAAAUUUUAAAUAGGUAAUUUUUAAAAAAAUGUGGUAUAAUGGAUCCAUAAGCUCGAAUGGUAGAGCGCUCAAUUGCUUCUAUGCAUUGAGAGGUCGGCGGUUCAAGUCCGCCUGGAUCCCCCAAUUGGUUAUGUCUCACUCAAGUAAAUCUGCAUCGCCGCCGGCUGAUUAGGAUGCGCCGCCGCCGCCGCUUGCGGAAAAGGGUAAAAUCUGGGCCUCGGGGUGAUCGUGCUGGAGCUCCUGACGGGGAAGUCUCCGAGCGAGGCAAAAGACGGGCUGGAUCUGCCGCAGUGGGUGGCGUCGAUUGUGAAGUAGGAGCUGAUGAGGGAUGCUUCUUCUUCGAGUGUUGGCGAUGAGCUGCUGAAUACGCUCAAGUUGGCGCUUCAUUGUGUUGACCCAUCGCCUGCGGCAAGGCUGGAGGCGGUGGAAGUGCUGCAGAAGCUUGAGGAGAUUAAGGCGGAGGCCGACGUUGCGGCGGUGGAUGAGUGAAGAGAGCAACAAAAAUACAUUUUUUUAGUACUGUGUUUAAGUAUUCGUUAUCGAUUUACUCGUUUGGAAUCGAGGUUUUGUUGUUUGUUAGAUUAUGUUAUUAAGUGUGUAUAAUACUCCAGUACUACUUCUUUGA